ACAAAUGUUUGGGUAGGUCGCCAUAGCAUUAUUGGCAGACGGAUUAUAUAAUCACGAUAUUGAUCUUAGACGGACACCGCUUUAAAUCUUGUACAGAAAUACUUCGAGAUGAAGCAAUUCCUGGUAUGUUGUCUGGUUGUUGUGCUGCUGUGGACAGCUUUAGUUCAGAGUGCUUCUACCUCUACUACCAUCACUAGUAUCACCACUGAUCCCGGUAAUGGUACUACUGCUGGAGGGAACACUGGGACACCAACAACGCCAAUGACACCGCUUUGGUUCAUGUUGGCAACCUCCCUAGCAAUAUUCUACAGGCAUACCUGAACUGAAUGGAUAACAGCAAUAGGAGUGGUGCUAUCUUUCCCUUGACAGAUCGGACCGAAAAUGGACAAAGCUAGCUUAAGCAAACCUCUUUCUUGUUUUUUCACCGAGUGAUUGUUUUAAAUCUUUGUAACGCAAUGAAACUGCUGUCUUCAUCUCUUGAUUGCCUGGCAGGAUAUUAGAAGUGCCAAACUUAAUGUGAAUUACCAUUAUACUCCACUUUCGCCCAUCAUUACUGAUCUGCUAUUAUAUAUAUUAUUUGUUGUGCAGAAUAUGACGAAAACAAGAUGUUGUUUUCAGAAUGUCAACAUAAUUUACCAAUACAGGUUUUAUCAUUUGCACUUUCUAGUCUUUUGUUUCUUAAAGAGCCUUCACUGUAUCACACAUUAUUUUUUUCAAUAUCAAACUAGCUUUUGAAUCUCAUAUUUGAGGAGUUAUUUUGUUAAGAAUGAAAAAAGUAGUAUUUUCAACAGUAGCAUUGGAAUAGGUACACGAUCUUUGUUAGGAUUCAAGGUGAAACGGCUCGAUUAAAUGUGUGGUCUUACCUAGGCUUUUAUUAGUAAGACAUGGAAUCGGGGCUGUUCUUGGGGAUAGUUACCUGGCUUGUAAGGUGCACUGAACAGCAUAAAGUCAGCAGUAGUCUGGGUGUUUUUCGUAGCGUGUCACCAGCUUAAGGACAGGAAAAACGCUCUGAAUCAUUUUCUGUGAACCCCAACCUCACAAGUCACAUGCUCGGUUAGUCAAAACGUCCCGUUUGGUAUCGGGCGAUACCAUACAAGUAUAAAUCAUGUUCAAUUGUGCAAGUGAUCAGCUUAUCUCUUAAAACGUUUAAAAAUGAAACGGGUUUUGACUGUGCUUGAUUUUACAUAUUA